GUGUCAGCCGCCGCGGUAAAACAUAGGGGGCAAGCGUUGUCCGGAAUCACUGGGCGUAAAGGGCGCGCAGGCGGUAAAUUAAGUCAGGUGUGAAAGUUCGGGGCUCAACCCCGUGAUUGCACCUGAUACUGAUAAACUAGAGUGUUGGAGAGGUAAGUGGAAUUCCUAGUGUAGCGGUGGAAUGCGUAGAUAUUAGGAGGAACACCAGUGGCGAAGGCGACUUACUGGCCAAUAACUGACGCUGAGGCGCGAAAGCGUGGGGAGCAAACAGGAUUAGAUACCCCAGUAGUCC
rnacentral:rRNA from 1 species